CCCUGGAGCUUAGCUCUCCUACACCUGGUGCUGGGCGCAUUAGGAGACGUCACGAGGCUCAGAGAUGCCACCCUUCCUAGAACGGGCGCUGUGCCUCUCUUCUCCACACACUGCAGCGGGGACAGGCACUGCGUUUUCAGAUAAGUUCCGUGUGCAUCAGGGGCUCGGUGGGAAAGAGAGGACACACUCAGAUUAGGAUUAUUCAUGGAGGAUUCUCCAAAGAGGCUAUUUGGAAAGGGAACGGUGAAGGAAAGCACAAGAGAAAAUGAACAGAACUGUUACUUCCCCCGUCUGAAGGGGCUGGGUUAUUGGAAGCCAGGAGGAGAGUGUGGUAAGAGCCACUUUUAGAGGAGUUUUUACCUUCAGGAGAAAGGGCCCAAGAAGACCCACAGGGAGGUGACCAGGGAAUGGCAUACUUGGACUACACUCUCUUCUCUUUCUCCACUCUCCUGCUAGGGCUCUGCAUUGGAUAAACCCCUGCAGGAGUGAGUGAAACUGCCACCCAGGUCUGCCUCCCAGGGCACAGCCCACAGAGAGCUCUGAGAAAGAAGAAAAGAGAAAUCAUUUAUCAUCCUGUUCUCCAAAGACAACUGUGAACGGCUUGGUGGAACUCCUUCCAGUGGCCUUCCUCGGAGCUCUGCCUCUUUGGAUGUGCCUCUCAAGACAAUUUUCCACAAGAUUGAACAGAUCAGAAAAUCCACUGGGAGCAGUUCCUUCUUGUUCUUGGAGACAUUCCCUCUGAAGGCCUCUGACGUUCCAGUUCAGUUCCCUGUUUGGACAACAGCAUAACUAUCAUCUGGGCUUUCCUUCACCUCCAGCUUGGAGGAUUUCUUUACUUCUCUCGUCCAUUGGAUCCACUGCUUCCUGGAGCAGAUGCCUUUCCCUCCUUGAUUUCAUCCCUUCUUUUAUUGGUGCACAGCCCCCAGAAACUGUCUGCUAA